rnacentral:rRNA from 1 species
UACGGAGGGUGCAAACGUUGCUCGGAAUCAUUGGGCUUAAAGCGCACGUAGGCGGUCGGCUAUGUCGGAUGUGAAAGCCUCGGGCUUAACCCGAGAAGUGCAUCCGAAACUGGCCGGCUUGAGUACGGAAGAGGGUCUCGGAAUUCCCGGUGUAGAGGUGAAAUUCGUAGAUAUCGGGAGGAACACCAGUGGCGAAGGCGGAGACCUGGGCCGAUACUGACGCUGAGGUGCGAAAGCGUGGGGAGCAAACAGG